UGGCAUUGUUACAUUCUGAAAUGAUGUCUCUUCCUUUCUGUAGACACAUUUACAAGUAUCUACUUAACAAGAAGAUUUCAUGGGAGGAAUUGUCAUUCUUUGAUCUGCUCUUUAUGAAGGAUUGGGUAAGCUGGUCAUUGGGUCACAUGUCUCAGAAAUGGGUAACCACUCCACUAUCAUUAUUCUGUUAUCAUUGUAUGUUCACUGGUCUGAGUUGGGAGGUUACUUUGGGUGAGAAUGAAGGAGGGGGCACUCACAGUCUCCUCUCCUCUCUCUCUGAUAAUUCAAUGGUGGCUGAUGAUGUAUUGGAAUAUGUAAGACGCUAUGCUGAACUUAGGAUGAUAAAAUAAUUGAAGAACCACUCCAGGGUAGGAUAGGUUUACUGUGGGUAAUAGCCAUGUUUACUGGGUCAUUCUUUCUCCUCUUUCUUCUUCCUGU